rnacentral:tRNA from 1 species
GCAUUGGUGGUUCAGUGGUAGAAUGCUCGCCUGCAACGCGGGAGACCCGGAUUCGAUUUACGGCCAAUGCA